AUUGCUGAGAGUUUAAAUAUAAGUGUAAUAAAAAAUUAACACUAGAAUACUUAAAUAAUACUUUUCAAUCAGAAAAAAAUUGUGUGAACUUUGCCGAGGCCCCCCUCUCUCCAACGUAAUAUUAGAUGAGAUUUUACUCGACCCCCUCCCCCCUUAAACAUCUCACGUAUUUUAUGAACGCCCCCUUACGUACAAUCACGACAUUAUAGUCUUAGGUAUUACAGCGACAAAAUAGUCUCGUCGCAAGUCUGUUGUUACUAAUGGAAUCGUUAAUGUGGAUUCGUUUCGUGGUUUUUUGCGCGGGUUAAAGGACAACGAAGGACGUUUUUCAUUCAAAAUGAAACUGGAGUUAUAUACAAAAUCCAGAGUUUUAUCGGAGCGACGGC
rnacentral:misc_RNA from 1 species